GGUGCAUUAGAUCAAUAGUAGAGCAUCUGCUUCACAUGCAGAAGGUUUCAGGUUCAAUCCCUGGCUUCUCCA